rnacentral:rRNA from 1 species
GACAGAGGGGGCAAGCGUUGCUCGGAAUUACUGGGCGUAAAGAGCUCGUAGGCGGCCUGUCGCGUCGGAUGUGAAAGCCCGGGGCUCAACCCCGGGUCUGCAUUCGAUACGGGCAGGCUAGAGUGUGGUAGGGGAGAUCGGAAUUCCUGGUGUAGCGGUGAAAUGCGCAGAUAUCAGGAGGAACACCGGUGGCGAAGGCGGAUCUCUGGGCCAUUACUGACGCUGAGGAGCGAAAGCGUGGGGAGCGAACAGG